rnacentral:rRNA from 1 species
CGCUGCAUCUCUGANAAUCCUAGAGAUAGGACNUCCCCUUCGGGGGCAGAGUGACAGGUGUNGCAUGGUUGUCGUCAGCUCGUGUCGUGAGAUGUUGGGUUAAGUCCCGCAACGAGCGCAACCCUUGAUCUUAGUUGCCAGCAUUCAGUUGGGCACUCUAAGGUGACUGCCGGUGACAAACCGGAGGAAGGUGGGGAUGACGUCAAAUCAUCAUGCCCCUUAUGACCUGGGCUACACACGUGCUACAAUGGACAGAACAAAGGGCAGCGAAACCGCGAGGUUAAGCCAAUCCCACAAAUCUGUUCUCAGUUCGGAUCGCAGUCUGCAACUCGACUGCGUGAAGCUGGAAUCGCUAGUAAUCGCGGAUCAGCAUGCCGCGGUGAAUACGUUCCCGGGCCUUGUACACACCGCCCGUCACACCACGAGAGUUUGUAACACCCGAAGUCGGUGAGGUAACCUUUUAGGAGCCAGCCGCCGAAGGUGGGACAGAUGAUUGGGGUGAAGUCGUAACAAGGGUAANCCGUAAAA